rnacentral:rRNA from 1 species
CCUACGGGCGGCAGCAGUGGGGAAUAUUGGACAAUGGGGGGAACCCUGAUCCAGCCAUGCCGCGUGUGUGAAGAAGGCCCUCGGGUUGUAAAGCACUUUCAGUGAGGAAGAACGCCUGGUGGUUAAUACCCAUCAGGAAAGACAUCACUCACAGAAGAAGCACCGGCUAACUCCGUGCCAGCAGCCGCGGUAAUACCGAGGGUGCGAGCGUUAAUCGGAAUUACUGGGCGUAAAGCGCGCGUAGGUGGCUUGAUAAGCCGGUUGUGAAAGCCCCGGGCUCAACCUGGGAACGGCAUCCGGAACUGUCAAGCUAGAGUGCAGGAGAGGAAGGUAGAAUUCCCGGUGUAGCGGUGAAAUGCGUAGAGAUCGGGAGGAAUACCAGUGGCGAAGGCGGCCUUCUGGACUGACACUGACACUGAGGUGCGAAAGCGUGGGUAGCAAACAGGAUUAGAUACCCCGGUAGUC